rnacentral:rRNA from 1 species
UACGAAGGGGGCUAGCGUUGCUCGGAAUCACUGGGCGUAAAGGGUGCGUAGGCGGGGCUUUAAGUCGGAGGUGAAAUCCUGGAGCUCAACUCCAGAACUGCCUUCGAUACUGAGGAUCUCGAGUCCGGGAGAGGUGAGUGGAACUGCGAGUGUAGAGGUGAAAUUCGUAGAUAUUCGCAAGAACACCAGUGGCGAAGGCGGCUCACUGGCCCGGUACUGACGCUGAGGUGCGAAAGCGUGGGGAGCAAACAGG